AGGGCACCACCAGGAGUGGAGCCUGCGGCUUAAUUUGACUCAACACGGGAAAACUCACCCGGCCCGGACACUGGAAGGAUUGACAGAUUGAGAGCUCUUUCUUGAUUCAGUGGGUGGUGGUGCAUGGCCGUUCUUAGUUGGUGGAGUGAUUUGUCUGGUUAAUUCCGAUAACGAACGAGACUCUAGCCUACUAAAUAGAUCGUCGGCUUACAAACGCCGGCGAGACUUCUUAGAGGGACAGGCGGUGAUUCAACCGCACGAAACAGAGCAAUGACAGGUCUGUGAUGCCCUUAGAUGUCCGGGGCCGCACGCGCGCUACACUGAAGUGAUCAGCGUGCUUUUUCAACCUACUCUGUCAAGAGUGGGGAACCCAAUGAACCUUCUUCGUGAUUGGGAUAGGGGAUUGUAAUUAUUCCCCUUGAACGAGGAAUUCCCAGUAAGCGCGAGUCAUAAGCUCGCGUUGAUUACGUCCCUGCCCUUUGUACACACCGCCCGUCGCUACUACCGAUUGAAUGUUUU
rnacentral:rRNA from 1 species